CCAAUUUAACAACCAAGGGGUAUAAGAAUUACUCCUGAAAAGACAAACAGUACAAGGAAUAACCAUCUGAAAAGACACGUCAUAUAAGAAUUACUCCCUAUGACUACUAAACACUUAGCUACACUAGGUCUCCAACAAUCAAAAGUACAAGCUCACUAGUUCAGUACCCCACUUCCUUAGAAGCAAAGAUAAAUGGUAACAACCAAGGGGAAAACGAGACAUUGUCCCUGAUCAAAAAUAGAUCGGGUUUUGGGCCACAAAGACCCAAUCCAACCAAACCCACAACAUCAAAAAAGUCCCACAACUUUGGACUUUCAGCUUAAGCUGAGAAACCCUAACAGGCCUAAGCCCACUUAGGCCCAUUUGAUCAUCUUUCUUUCCCACAACCAUGAAAAUUUCACCGCUGACCUGCAUGCCUCCGUCAGCGAUUCUACACCACCUCCAACAUCAGGAACAUAAACCUCAGCCCCUCUUUCCACAUGUCCACCGCCGCUGGUAUCUCCAUUGGAAGGCAGUUGUCGUUUUCACCAUGCAAACCCUAAAUAGGUCUACUAACGCCAACAAACAAGUCAUUUUCACCGGCGUUGGGACCGGAGUCCCGACUCCACCAAAAAAAUCCAGAUUCGACGCCUCCAAACAAGGUUUCAACCCCUGCCAUGUCGAAGCACGUAGAUGACCCAGAAGGAAGACCACCCUCCACUAGAUCUACCCCCCAAAAGAGACGGCACCAGAUUUGGCAAAAGAAAACACGUGUUCGCUAGCCACCCAUACCACCUCGGGUCACCAAUCCCACUAGGAUGAUUCGUUCCUCCAUCAAAAACAUCACCCGGAUCCCAGUUCUCCCAAACCAGAUCAGGUGCCUCCGCAUAGCAUUGGCGGGUCUAAGCGGCCCCUAAGCGGGUGUAGGUGGUCCCUACGUGGGUCUAGGUGGGUCAAGGCGGUCCUGUGGCAGGUCAAAGCGGCCCUCGACGGGUCAAGGCGGCCUAGUAGUGGCCUUAAGCGGGUCUCAAUAGCCUUUUGGUGGGUCUAGAUUGUCCCUAAGCGGGUCUAGGCGGUCCCUACACAGGUCUUAAGUGGGUCCAAGCGGUCCUUACGCGGUUCCUAGGUGGAUCUAGGCGGUCCCUACGCUUGUUCUAAGUAGGUCUAGGCGGGUCUUAACGGCCCUAGGCGGGUCAAGGUGCCCCUUUAGCGGCCCUAAGUGGGUCUCGGCAUCUCCUUGGCAGUCAUAGACUUGUAUCGGCAGACCCUUAGCGAGUCUAGGUAGCCCUAAAUGGGUCUAGGUGGUCCCUACGUGGGUCUAGGAGGGUUAAGGCGGUCCUAUGGCACGUCAAGGCGUGUCAAAACGGUCCCUUAGUGACCCUCGACGGCUCACUAAGCAGGUCUAAAUUGUCCCAACACGAGUUUAGGUGGAUCAAGGCGGUCCCUUGGCAAGUCAAAGCGGCCCCUUGGCGACCCUUUAUGGGUCAAGACCACCCCUUAGCGGCCCUAGACAGGUCUAGACAACCCCUAAGCGGGUCUAGGAGGUUCAAGGUUGUCCCUUGGCAGAUCAAGGUGGGUCAAAGCGGCCCCUUGGCGGCCCUCAACGAUUCAAGGCGGCCUAUUAGCGGCCCAAGGUGGGUCAUGGCAGUCCCUUGGCAAGUCUAAGCGGCCCUAAGCUGGUCUAGGUGAGUUAAAACAGUCCCUUAACAGGUCAAAGCGGCCCCUUAGCGGUCCUCGGCGAGUCAAGACUGCUCCUUAGCGACCCUAAGCAGGUCUAGGUGACCCCUAAGCGAGUCUAAGUGGUCCCUAAGCGGGUCUACGAAGAUCUAGGUGAUCCAUUGGCAGGUCAAGGCGGGCCAAAGUGCCCCUUUGACGGCCUGCGGGGGGUCAAGACAGCCCAUUAGCGGCCUAAGGCGGCCCAUUAGCGGCCCUAGGCGGGUCUAGGCUGUCCGUAAGCGGGUCUAGGCGAUCCCUAAGCGGGUCUAGGUGGUCCCUACGUGGUUUUAGUAGGGUUAAGGCGGUCUCUUAGCAGGUCAAGACGGGUAAAAACGGCAUCUUGGCGGCCCUCGACGGGUCAAGGCGAUUCAUUAGUGGUCAUAGGCUGAUCUCGGCAGCCCCUUAGAGGGUAUAAACAGCCCCUAAGUGGGUCUAGAUGGUCCCUACGCGGGUCUAGGUGGAUUAAGACGAUCCCUUAGCAGUUCAAAGCGACCCCUUGGUAGGCCUUGGCGGGUCAAGACAACCCCUGAGCGGCCCCUAAAAAGGUCUAGUUGGUCCUUACGCGGGUCUACGAAGGUCAAGGCGGUCCAUUGGCAAGUCAAUUGCAAGGUGGGCCAAAGAAGCCCUUUAGCGACCCUAGGCAGGUCUCGGCAUCCCUUUGGCAGGUCUAGGCUAUCCCUAAGUGGGUCUAAGCGGUCCUUACGCUGGUCUUAAGCAGGUAUAGGGGGUCUUAACGGCCUUAGGUGGGUCAAGGCGUCCCCUCGGCAGCCCUAGACAUGUAUCAAUAGCCCCUUGGCGGGUCUAGGUGGUCCCUAAACAGGUCUAGGACGGUUAAGGCGGUCCCUUGGUAAGUCAAGACUGGUCAAAGGGGGUCAAAACAGUCCCUUGGCGGGUUAAGGUGGCUCAUUAACGGCCCAAGGCGGGUCGUGACAGCCCCUUGGCGGGUCUAAGCGGCCCUUGGCAGGUCAAGACUGCCCCUUAGCGACCCUAGGUAGGUCUAGGCAGCCUUGGGUCUAGGUGGUCCCUACGCAGGUCUACUAGGGUCUAGGCGGUCCCUUGGCAGGUCAAAGCGGGUCAAAGCGGCCCCUUGGCGGCCCUCGGCCGGUCAAGACGGCCCAUUAGCGGUCAUAAGCGGAUCUCGGCAGCCAUUUGGCGGGUCUAGGCGGUCACUACGCGGUUCCUAAGCAAGCCUAGGCUGGUCUUAACUGACCUAGGCAAGUAAAGGUGCCCCCUUGGCGGCCCUAAGUGGGUCUCAGCAUCCCCUUGGCACCCUAGACAUGUUUCGGCAGACCCUUGGUGUGUCUAGGUGGCCCCUAAGCGGGUCUAGGUGGUCCCUAAAAGGGUUUCAAGACGGUUAAGGCGGUCCCUUGGCAAGUAAGGCGGGUCUAGGCUGUUCCUAAGCAGGUCUAGACGGUCCCUAUGCGGUUCCUAAGCAAACCGAGGCGGGUCUUAACGGACCUAGGCGAGUCAAGGCGCCCCCUUGGCGGCCCUCAGUGAGUCUCGGCAUCCCUUUAAUGCCCUAGACGUGUAUCGACAGACCUUGGUGGGUCUAGAUAGCCCCUAAGAGCAACUCCAACCAUAGAGUCAAAACCACCAUGGAGGCUCCAACGGCAACAAUUGACAACUUUGAAUCAACUCCAACAGAAUUGUCAAUUCCACCUGGAUGACAACUUUGAUUCAUCUUGUCAAAUUUGACCCAGGCUGAGCUUAAAGUCAUUUAAUUUUUUUAUGAUUUCUUUCUCUUCUCUCCUCUUUCAUUCUCAUCUCUCUGUUUCUUUCCUACACAAAACCCAAAUCAAGACUUGCUGAUCUGCAAUUUUGAUAUAGAAAGAGCAAUAGCAUCAAUACCCAAAUAAUCAAAUGGUUAUUUGAAGAAAGCAGAUCGAGUUCGAGGGAAGAAGAGGAUUGUUGGUAAAAGGAUCAAAAUCGUUGUCAGUGAAUGAGGAGAUAAUUCCAAAUUUAGGUUGAUCAAACAUACCUACACCUAGUAAGAAGAUUCAUUCUUUGGUCUUGAGCUUCUUGACGGCCUUGUCUAUGGAGGAUCGGAGGGACUUGUAGGACAAGAGAUAAGCUAGAAAAAAUGAAAGAAAGAAGGUGAUCGAGAGCAGAAGAAAAGGUGUGAGAGGAGAUUUUUUUGACUAAUGAGAGAGGAGGAGGAGGAUAAGGAUAAGAGGGGUGCGUGUUUUAAUAAAAUGAUUUACAAAUUAUUAUAAAAUUAUAAUUUUUUUGACUAGUUGGUUGGAGUUAAAAUCUUGUAAAAUGUCAAAUACCAUGUCAGCAGUCAAAUUUGAAAUUUGACAAAAAGUUUUAAUUCUCUUGUUAGAGAUGCUCUAAGCGGGUCUAGGUGGUCCCUAAAUGGGUUUCAGGACGGUUAAGGCGGUCCCUUGGUCGGUAAAGGUGGGUCAAAGGCGGCUUCUUAGCUGCCCUCAGCCUGUCAAGGCGGCCCAUUAGCGGCCCUAGGCGGAUCCCUUGGCAGGUCAAGCUAGGUCAAAGGCGGCCUCUUGGCAGGUCAAGGAGGGUCAAGGCGGCUCAUUAACCGCCCUAGGCGGGUCUCGACAGCCCAUUGGCGAGUCUAAACAGCCCCUUAACGGGUCUAGCUAGAUGGUCCAUACGCAGGUCUAGGAGGGUCAAGACAGUCCGUUGGUAGGUAAAGGACGGUCAAAGUGGCCCCUUGGCCGCCCUCGACGGGUCAAGGCGGCCCAAGGCGGGUCUAGGUGUGUCUAGGCGGCCCCUAAGCGGGUCAAGAUUGUUCCUACGUGGGUCUAGGUGGAUCAAGGCGGUCCCUUGGUAGGUCAAAGUGACCUAUUGGCGACCCUUGGGGGUCAAGACUGCCUUUUAGUGGCCGCUCUAGGUGGUCCUUCAAAGGGUCUAGGAGGGUUAAGGCAGUCCCUUAACAGGUCAAGGCGGGUCUCAGUUGCACCUUGGCAGGUCUAAGCGGCCCCUAAGCGAGUUUAGAUGGUCUUUACAUGGGUCUAGGUGGAUCAAAGAGGUGCCUUGGCAGGUCAAGACAGCCCCUUAACGGCCCUAAGUGGGUCUCGUAGGGUCUAAGCAGGUCUAGGCGGGUCUAGACGGCCCUUGGCGGGUCAAGACCACCCCUUAGCGGCCCUAGACAGGUCUAGGCGACCCCUAAGAAGGUCUAGGUGGUCCCUACGCUGGUCUACGAGGGUCAAGGUGGGUCAAAAUGGCCCAUUGGCUGCCCAUGACGGGUCAAGGCGGCCCAUUAGCGACCCUAGACGGGUCUCGCUAGCCCUUUGGCGGGUCUAGGCUGUCCCUACGUAGGUCUAGGCGGUCCCUACACGGGUCCUAAGCAGGUAUAGGCGGGUCUUGACGGACGGGUCAAGACGCCCUUAUACUUCUAGCAAUUGAAAAUUCGGCAGCCUUAGUGUCACGGUCCAUAUUUUCUAGAAAAUUUCCAACGACUCUAGGCACUUUGGACCAGCGAGUCAUCUAGACAUCAAAAUACAUCAUGUUGUCCGGCUCUCAAUGUUUGAAGGUUUUGUAAGAGUAUAAAGAUAUCAAAAUUCAUUGCUAGCUAGGCAACGUAGAUUCUACAUUUAAAGUGUCAUUGUUAUAAAAAGGGUGAGACUCUGUGAACCCAUAGCAAACAUAUGUGUGAAAGCUAGCAUGGUUUUAUUGAAUUAAAAUGAACAAGAAGGAAGUAAAACGCAGGAGAGCAAGAGUCUACAUCUUGUAUUUGAUUGAUUGUGUAAAAAAUACAUCUCAUCAGAUUUAUAUGUAGGGAUCAAUAGAAAAUGACUAAACUAAUCUUACUCUGUUUUCCAAUUUUUCCCUUGUUGGAUAAAAGUUUGGUCAAUAGUAGAAGAAAUAAAACAGAAACUGCCCUAGCCUUUUUUUUCUAGCUAGUGAAUAACUAAACUCUUUGCUACGUACCCACCUUCACGAAGCAUGAAGAGCUACAACUCAAUUUUAACUCGAAAUUGUUGGCAUAAUAUAUAACCAGUCAUGCUGAUUGUAAAUUGCAAUUCCAGUUGCGUUCCAAACGGUCUUCGGCCAUUUGGUGUUAGCAAACACCCAGAAUGGGAUGGAGAUAGUGAUAGUGAAUUAAUCCAUAGUUCAAAGCUCCAGGUGCUUGUGAGAUUCUAAUGUGACGAUAGAAUCAUGUUACAUAUUAACUAUAGUUGUUUGGCUGCUUUGUACUAUAAAUUUCUAUAUGCUUAACUUGUUCCAUAUAAAUUUUACAUGUUCCAUUUACAAUUGUAUAAACUUGUUCGAUAUGUUUGCGGUUAUUUCAUACAAGAAUCUUGACAGUUGAUUUAGAUAUAUCAGUUUUAGGUCCAUACAUCUCUGGCACCCAAAGAAACUUAAUUCGUCCUACUGAUGCAACUUAUCAUAUCAAGUGCAAUUCUAUAGGAAUCCUGACGAAGGCAAUGGAUAGCCUCCGACUCGGCAAGAAAAAGAAAACUGAAAUAUUAUACCAGGAAAACGACAUUACGGAGCAAUUUAGUCACUUGACAACAGAGUUCUAACAAAGUUAUGUUGUAGAGUUCCAUAUCCCCACCACAGUGCCUAGACUUUCACUGAUUAAACUGCAGAAAAUUGAUGAGAAUGCAAGCAAUCCUUUCCCAUUUCUAACUUUCAUUUCAGAUAGGUUUUCCCUUUGGAACGAUUUGAUCUUUGAUCCACAUGUAAAUGGGAACGAGCACAUAGUAAGCUCCUGCAGUUGCUCCAAGAAUGAGCCGGAAAAGAAACACAAAUCGAUUGACAGGCUUCCUCACAUCCUCAACCUUUGGACCAAGCUGCACCAAAACAGAUAUCAAUUGAAUAUGACAAGUGAAUGCAUCAAAGGGCAGGAAAUAUAAGCCUCCUAAGUGACCUAGUGUUUAAUCCUUGAGAUACAAUGUGUAAACACUCAUAGUGUAAAAGGGCGUCUUCUGAUUCAAAUGUACUUAACUACUAACUUCGCAUUAAACAGGUAUUCCAACCUACUCUGGCACAAAAUACUUGUAUAAAACCUCCAUUCUUACGCGGUAUUUACUGAAUAUUGCUUUAGAACUGGACAUUGCCUUAGACCUGCAUUUUACAUGCUUAAACACUAAUAUACUAAUAUGAAUUAAUCCGAAUAUAAAAUAAGAGCCGUAAAUAUUACUUACUUUUGCAUAAGCUUGUAGUUUGAAUUCAAAUUCUUGUUACAGUUGAAACCUUCAUGGAUAGAAGUGUUAUAGUUAUACUGCCUAUAUAUAUGUCGAACUAGUCCUUUCUUACACACAAAAGAUUCUCAUUCUUAGUAUACUAGGAGAAUAUAAGGGUGCAAUAAGAAGGCUAUCAUGGACAACGCAUUUGUUCUCUGUGUUCAAUUUCAAAGACAUGUUCAUGUAUUCUGCAUAAUUAAGACUGAUACACUGUUCAAUCCUAUAUGUAAUAAACUUAAAAUACAACAAAAUUUCAUCACAAGAUUUGAUCUGGCAUAGCCUACAGUAAUGUUCCUAAAUUGGUUUCAAUUUAACAGGAGGAGCUUUCUAUUUUCUAUUCUUGUUUUUACAAUGAACCACAUCGACCACCCCAGUGUCACCAACACCAUCACAAGUUCUCUUUGCCACUACUGCAACCCUUACCACAAUCACUAAAAUGACCGCUACAAUGGUCAUCACAAGUCCCAAUGACAAACACUGCCACCCACUGCUCGCACCAGAAUCAACUGCCAUAAUCUCCACCAUUACCCAACACUCCCUACCAUCAAGUUCGACUUCUGUCAAAGUUUCUAAGAAUGAAAUGUGACAACCACUACCUUCGCAGGUUAUUAUAGAACUAAAAUUAUCCAAAAUUUUCUCAAAGGGAGAGUUUUUUUUUUUUUUGGUCUGAUUAUCGAAGGGAGAGUAUUUCCAGCUAAACUAUAGAGUAAUAAAUCACAGAACUGGUCAACUAAGUCAUGCUAGCUUCUUCUUUCAAGGCAUAAUGACAAGCAAUAAAUGGAUUGUUACCACCUCAAAAAAACAUUUUAGGAGAAUAAUAACAAGCAAGCCUCUAAUAGGAAUAAGUUAUUGCAAGAUGCUCCUCUGGAUGUGACCUGCUCAUCAAACACUAUACCAAUGAUACAGAUGCCAUAAAAGAGCUUUCUUUUCUAAUCUGAGAAAAGAGAUUACUUUAAGUUUUUACCUCUUUAAGGGAUAAAGAAUAAUGUACCUGAAGAGGGGAAUCCCCAGUUAAGGGCUUCACACCUGUCACAGAGCAACCCAUAAUCAGGCCAUGCCGGCGAACUCCACGGUACCACUUUGGACCAAUUCUUUUUAGUUUAACAUCUUUGAAACCUGCCUUUUUGAACCAAUCAAUGUAUUCUUCCUCUGUUGGGAAGAGCAUCCACGUGUCUGCGAAAAAACGAGACAGCCAGAAGGUCGGGUACACAGGGCCUAUAAGACAGGCUUUUCCUCCUAUUUUAAGUACCCUGUAUGCUUCCUUGAUUCCACACUGGGGAUCCGGCCAAUACUCUAUACUGAGGAACAAAAUCAUAAGAAUGCAUAAGAUAUAGAGUUACCAACAUACUUGUAUAAACCUAAAACGUAUAGUAUUACAGUUUGCUUUGUUUCGGAAAAGCCCUAAGAAACCCAACCAUCCGAAAGCAUAAUACACUCCCCAUUCUUUUAAAGUUAAAAUAUUUGCCAGGACAACUAAUUUAGAUUUCUUUCAUUCACCUCAAUGAUAAAUCUGAAAUAAGGAAAACAGCAGCAUAACAGGAAUGAAAGUUUCAAAGUAAGAUCAGAUUCCGAUUUCAUAUCACAAAUCUCAAUCCUCACUUGCACUCCCUUCAAAUGGAAUUACAUUACAUCAAAGUAAUAGCAGCAUAGAUAUUACCUUCCAGCAGAGACAUAUCUAUCUGCAUAAUCAGUUGGGAACGGCAGAUCCUCGGCAUCACCUUCAAUUAUCUUGCAAUCUUUCAAGGGCUCCUUCUCCUUAGCCUUGGCAAGCUGGUGUGGUGAUUGGUCAAGAAUUGUAACAUUUUUGGCAUCCACAUGCUUCACAAUCCCCAGUGUUGUGAACCCAGUUCCACCUCCAACAUCCACCACUGUCAUGUUCCUGUCAUAAAGAUCAGCCGGCUCAAGGGCGUCGUCUCUCAUAUCCUCAGUCCAAUGCCCAGGGUUUAUCACAUGAUCAUAGACUAUAGAUAAGAACCUAUAGAACCAGAAUGCUUCUUGCUUGUGCUGUAUGAACCUAGGCUGAGAAGCAGGCCUUGAGGACGAGACACUGCAUAUGGGUCCAAUAGUUCUAGCCUUGGAAUUCCUACCAUAACUAACAGAACCCGUUUUGGGGAAAGAUCCAUAUUGAAAAUUCCCACCAGAACCUAACCCAGUUGGUGCUAUGCCAGAAGCAAGUUUCAGAUUCUGAGCUCCAUAGAGCAUUGAAAUAGCCAUGGUAUGGUAAUAGGAAACAAAACCCACAAAAUUAAACCCACAAAAGAAAUACUCUUUCUUUCCCACUGAUUACUGGAAACUAAAAUCAAAGAAAUGCUUCAGAUAACAUGGAGAUUCAGAAUCAGACUGAAGUGAGCAUACAAGCAACAACCAUGGGGAUUCAGAUUACCCCAUCAUAUAAAUAUCAAAGAAGUACAGGAUUACCAAACAGAAGUGGCUUACCAACGGUUGUUCUACACAGGGAGAUAGGAAGAGAGAGAGAGAGUAUUGAUAGCCACCUGUUCGAUAAAAAUGUGCACGAAGCGUAAGUGUCACCCAACAUGAUUUCACUCGCAUUUAUUAAUAGAAUAGAGUUUUAAUUACGUUUAGUUCGACCAUUUAAAACAGAAUGAGUCUCUUAAUUACAAUCCCUUCUUACAAGGGAACACCAUUUGAUUCAAUUUAUCAAGAAACCAUUGUAGGUUUGUUUAUUUUUACGGCUGCACCCGAAUUUCGGAAUGAGUUGCCUAUGUACCCAGGAGGGGAUCAAGCCACUCGUAGAGUUCCAAUGAGUGAAUGACUCAUUGGAGGGCUUUGAUUUAGGAAUAAGAGUAGUGUUUGAGAUGCGGUUGUAUCUAGAUUAUUUGAUUCUAGAUUGCCUACAUACCCUUGCGGGAUCAAACCACAUGUAGUUCCAGCAUUUGAGACUUAAAUGGGUAGGUGACCCACUUAUUUUGAAUUUGUGUUUGGGAUAUUUGUGAGGGUUUAAAGCCCUUGAAUUUGGUUUGGGUAUUUGAUAUUUAUAGUGUUUGGGUGAAUUUGACUAGUGGAGCCAAAGAUUCAGAUUUUGUGAAUUUGACUGGCGAAGUCGAGAAUUUGAUUUGAGAUUUGUGACUGGUGGAGUUAAGGAUUUGAUUUGAGAUUGGUGGUUGUAUCUAGUGGGUCGCUAGAUUGCCUACAUACCUUUUUGUAGGGAUCAAACCAUUACAGUUCAAAAAUUUGGGUAUGCGGUUUUGUACCGACUUUUGAGUCGACAAAUAUACAUAUUUUUGAAUCCGUCAAUUGUAUUUCUUGUGGACACCCAAUUUGGUAGAGUGCCUAUUGAUUUAACAUGGGCACCCGUCGUGCUGGAGGUUUGCAGUUGGGCCUUGCGACUUCACACUAACUUGUAUCAACAAUGGGUAUUUGUAAAGUGGGCUUGUUUCCGUGUCAUUUGUAGGAGGCCCAUCAAGGACUUGUAACCUUGAUGACAUCAUGUGAAGUGUGAACUACAAACUCUUCUGAAAGCUAACUUCAUUCAACAAUGGAACAUCAGAGGCGUCUUCCCGGUUUGACAAGCUCGACAAUAUCUCUGUGAUUAUCAUGUCGACGGUAGAGACCGGGUUGCAGUAUAUUGGGAGACAAAUUCGAAAGGUCUGCUCCUGUAUAAAUGGAGAGGCGCCGUCUCCGUUUCUGCACUCCACCUUGAUCGAGAGCGCACAUUGGGUAAUAGCUCCUUCACUUUGACUACCUUUUAUGCUUCUGAAUUUUGCGUUGGCAUAGGCGCAUAGCUUUGUGGUCACCAAUUGACACUUGAUUAAGACUUUUGUCUUUUGUGGAGGAAGAGCAUACUGGACGUUUUAAUUUCAAGGUCUAAUUUGCUAUCCCAAUACCUCAACUAUCAAUCAUCAAUUUGUCAUUUGAUUAACCACAUAUAUAUUCAUACAACUCCACCGUUUGCUUCAUUUGUCCUUUUGCCGAAGUGCUUUACAGACGUGAAUAGCCAUUAAGUUGGUGGCAGUCUUGCUUUGCUUCGAGGCUUUAAACAUAACUUCACAUUUUAACAAUUGCAGGUCUUGAAUACAACAAGUCUUGGACUUUCCUCCACCGCAAACUCUAAGAUACCGUUUGAAGAGGUAGAUUUGCAGUAGGCUUGUAGACACUUCCUUGUAGACCUUGUAUUUGAGACUUCGGGUGCGGCUUCUAUUGUAAGACCUCCUGACGAUCAUAUCUUCAUACUUCUGAAGCCUUUGUUAUUCUGUGCAGUUCUUGAAUACUCCUCCGAUACCAAACCGACGUGGUCCUUUGAGAGGUUAUCUUGAUAUCAAAACAUGGCGGCACCGAAUGUAUUUGCAGAUGCCUUGUCUUCUUUUCUUUAUUGCGGCUUGUUGCCUUGUUGACUGCCACCACACAAGAAGCAGGAAUUUUGAUGCAUCUUCCGUGGAUUGUUUUGGCUUGCUGCAGUUGUCAUGGCACUGGUUGUAGACUAGAAGCUGGAGCUUUGACGCAUCUUUUGGGACUGCUGUGGCCUGUUCCUUUCUUCUUCAGUUGCAGCAAAUUGUAUGCACGCUGGCAUUUGCUGUGAGUACAUCAGCGACAUCUUCGUUGGAGUACCAGACCUCAUCUUCGCUGCUAUUGUUGAGGACGACUGGAGCCACUUCUUUGGUGCAUGACUAUGAUGUCCUUGCUGCAGUGAAGAGCCAUUGGCGAGGUUUUCAUGGAACUUUAUCAGAGGAGUUUUGUCGCAGUUUUACUCUUGUUGAAUCCGGAGCAUUGGCAUUUGUUGUGAACACGAGGGCAACUUCAUUGAGAUAUCAGACUUCGUCUGCACUGCUUUUAUUUGUUGUAGACGACUUGAGGAGUCACUUCUUUGAUGCAUGACUGUGACGUCUUUAAUGCAGUGAAGAGCCUUUUGAGGCACCUGGUUGAAGAUUGCAUGUAAAGCUUCUCCAGGCGAGCUUUGUUGUUGCAGCAUUUACUCUCGUUGAUACCAAAGGUACCGUAAACGAGGCUUCUGGCAUUUGAGCAUGUUGGUGUGGGAUUUGAUGAGAGGACAAACUCAGAAGUGAAGCGAAAUGAGGCUGGCUGGAGUAGUUCUUUACCUUUCUUCUUGGGCUUCUUCUUCUUCUUCUUUGUUGUUGUCGAUCCCUUCCCUUUGCUUCUGCCUGCUUAUGCUCUCCGUUCGUCUUCUAUGUUGCUUCUGCUUUCUUCUAUGCCCUCUUCUUCUUUAGCUCUUCUUCGUUUGACUCUGCCCGCUUCUGUCUUCUUUUGUCGCUGCUUGCUUCUGCCUCCGUCUUCUGUCCCUCCUCCUAUUGGCCUCCUCUCCUCCUUUUUUUUGACUGCGGGAGUUCUCUUUUAUAUAGCAGCACCACGAGUAGUAGAGUUGGAGUUGAUCCGGUUAAGCUGUAAUUGAUUUGGACUCAUCUUUUAAUUUCUUAACGAGACCUAGUUCAACUUGCCUUCACCUUCUUUUAAUUGCAUUGCUUUGUUUUAAUAUUUGUACAAAGCUGGAAGGCUAGAAGUCAACCAACAGUAAUGGGACUCUAGAAGCAACGUCCUACUUUUGAGAUACAUAUAUAUAUAUAUAUUUUUUUUCCUUUUCUUUUUCUGUUUUUCACUAGACCAUUAUUUUUUUUUUGUCUCAACACCACCACAGGCUGUGGCAGGAGUUGUAGUAAUACUUGGGUCAGUGAGGUAGUAGCUGUCAGACACGUUAAACGUACGGUUUUGACAUCCAUGUAAGACAAGGCUGGUACUUUUAUUAUUUCUGUCUUCUUCUGAGUUAUUUACUCUUGGCGUAUCAAACUAAGGAGCUUCGGAGUUAUAUGCUCGGAGUUGGAUUUGUCUUGCAAGAAAAUGUCAAGCUUACAAUCUCUACUUCCGGUCAUGGUUAUUUACUACAUCUAUUGAAAGUAGAGGUCUUUUGUCCUUUGGUUAUUGAGUAUUACUUUUCAUUAUACAUCUUUACUUUACUUUACUUUACUUUACUUUCUACUGUAUAGUUUUUUCAGUCAGUUCCAUCUCUCUCUUAUAUAAAAAGAGAGAUCUGUAAUCUUUCUGUUUUUUUAUCAAGAAAUAUAUCAGAAAACUUCCACAAGAUUUUGUGUCCAGUUUUCUUCAUGGUAUCAGAGCAGGAAUCCAAGGCCUGUCUUUAUAUCUCUUCUUGAUUAUAUCUGAUUUCUUCUUUCCUCUGUGGAAGAGAAAUUUGUUCAGAGUUCUUUUCCUCUGAUUUCUUUUUUUGAUUUCUUCAUCCUGUUAUGGAAGAGAGAUCUGUAGAGAGGUUUUUUGUACCCUCAUCUGUCUCCGAUGUUGGAAUGAAUCCAAAUCGGUGUUUUAGAUCUAUGGAGGUGAAGAAACCAGAAGGUAAGCCUUCUAUGAAACGCCUGGGUAAUCUUACAAGCAUAUGGAAUGAGUUUGUUGCCUAUCUCAGCAAGAAGCAGAUGCAGACCAGAUGCGAAGAAGAGAAUAUGUCUGGGAGAGAAAGCUACUCUGCCAUCCUAAAGCAAUUUUCUGGGUUUCUUGCAGAAACUGAUUUUGGUUCACUAUGAAGAAGCUUCAGGUACUCUAUCAACUUUGUCAAUGCUCUCACUNNNNNNNNNNNNNNNNNNNNGAUUGUCAUUAUAUCCGAGCUCAAGUUCAGUCCAAGGUUAUUGAUACACACUACAUUCGCAGCCAAGACCAAUUGACUGACAUCUUUACCCAAAAUCUCUUUCCGCUGCUCAAUUCCAUCGACUCUUGGGCAAGCUUGGCUCAAUGAAUCCCCUUGAUCCAGCUUGAGGGGGAGUAUUGGAAGUAGAGGUCUUUUGUCCUUUGGUUAUUGAGUAUUACUUUUCACUGUACAUCUUUACUUUACUUUACUUUCUACUGUAUAGUUUUUUCAGUCAGUUCCAUCUCUCUCUUAUAUAAAAAGAGAGAUCUGUAAUCUUUCUGUUUUUUAUCAAGAAAUAUAUCAGAAAACUUCCACAAGAUUUUGUGUCCAGUUUUCUUCAACAUCUGGAAAACUACAUAUUACACUCUUAUUUCAUGGUCAAUAAUGAAGAGGAGAAAUUUUGUUCAGAGAUCCAAGGCACACAAGAACCAAAAAACCGGCAAAUACUAAAGCCUAGAAAGAAAUACUAUACUAUAUACUGCACUCUCAUUAUUCAGAAACGGGGAUCAAACUAUGACCAUGUAUAUAGAUUGCCUUUUGCAGCUUCCUCGGAUAAUGAUUUAUGACAUCUCUGAGGCCACCUCUGAUUGUCUCUUCAGGAGAAGUUCUGAAGGCAACUCCGCUGGACUAUCUGGUGACAUGUCCAAUGGAACUUCGGAAGGCGUCUCUGAUGCAGUCUCUGAAGGUAUCUCUGAUGAAGUCUCAGUAGGUAUCUCUGUUGAAGCCACGGGAGACAUCUCGGAUAAAGUAUCUGAAGGCAUCUCUGAUGAAGUCUCUGAAGGCGUCUCUGACGAAGUUUCUGAAAGCAUGUCUGAUGAAGUCUCUGAAGACAUAAGCUCUGAUGGAGUUCGAACUUCCCUGAGUUGAACUGAGUUCUCAAAGCAGUGAUAGAAACCAAAGUGAGGGAAUCUCUCAUACCAGGUGUCUUCCGGCUGAUGUGUAUCCCAAUGAUCACCACUGCUGCUCUUCCCAUACUUGUGAACCCACCCUGAACCAUUG
rnacentral:lncRNA from 1 species